ACGGGGUGCAGCAGGCGCGAAAACUGACCAAUGCGCGAAAGCGUGAGUCGGUCAAUCCGAGUGUAGACCCAUCGGUUUACUUUCGUCAUGUGUACAACGCUUGGCGAAUAAUGUGAGGGCAAGACUGGUGCCAGCCGCCGCGGUAAAACCAGCUCAUAGAGUGGUGAUCAUGAUUAUUUGGCUUAAAGUGUGCGUAGCAGGGAAUUCUAAGUCCUUUGUGAAAUGUCAGGUCUUAAGCUUGACACGUGCAGAGGAUACUGGAAUCCUUGGGACUGGGAUAGGUGUAAUGUACGGUUUGGGUAGGGGUGAAAUCCGAUAAUCCAAGCCGGACAACCGGUGGCGAAGGCGUUACACUGGAACAGGUCCGACUGUGAGGCACGAAAGCUAGGGUCGCGAGCCGGAUUAGAUACCCCGGUAGUCCUGGCCGUAAACGCUGUGGGCUAGGUGUUGCAUGCUCUACGAGGGCGUGCAGUGCCGAAGAGAAGUUGAUAAGCCUACCGCCUGGGAAGUACUAUCGCAAGAU
rnacentral:rRNA from 1 species